rnacentral:rRNA from 1 species
UUCGACACACUAUCAUUAACUGAAUCCAUAGGUUAAUGAGGCGAACCGGGGGAACUGAAACAUCUAAGUACCCCGAGGAAAAGAAAUCAACCGAGAUUCCCCCAGUAGCGGCGAGCGAACGGGGAGCAGCCCAGAGCCUGAAUCAGUGUGUGUGUUAGUGGAAGCGUCUGGAAAGGCGCGCGAUACAGGGUGACAGCCCCGUACACAAAAAUGCACAUGCUGUGAGCUCGAUGAGUAGGGCGGGACACGUGGUAUCCUGUCUGAAUAUGGGGGGACCAUCCUCCAAGGCUAAAUACUCCUGACUGACCGAUAGUGAACCAGUACCGUGAGGGAAAGGCGAAAAGAACCCCGGCGAGGGGAGUGAAAAAGAACCUGAAACCGUGUACGUACAAGCAGUGGGAGCACGCUUAGGCGUGUGACUGCGUACCUUUUGUAUAAUGGGUCAGCGACUUAUAUUCUGUAGCAAGGUUAACCGAAUAGGGGAGCCGAAGGGAAACCGAGUCUUAACUGGGCGUUAAGUUGCAGGGUAUAGACCCGAAACCCGGUGAUCUAGCCAUGGGCAGGUUGAAGGUUGGGUAACACUAACUGGAGGACCGAACCGACUAAUGUUGAAAAAUUAGCGGAUGACUUGUGGCUGGGGGUGAAAGGCCAAUCAAACCGGGAGAUAGCUGGUUCUCCCCGAAAGCUAUUUAGGUAGCGCCUCGUGAAUUCAUCUCCGGGGGUAGAGCACUGUUUCGGCAAGGGGGUCAUCCCGACUUACCAACCCGAUGCAAACUGCGAAUACCGGAGAAUGUUAUCACGGGAGACACACGGCGGGUGCUAACGUCCGUCGUGAAGAGGGAAACAACCCAGACCGCCAGCUAAGGUCCCAAAGUCAUGGUUAAGUGGGAAACGAUGUGGGAAGGCCCAGACAGCCAGGAUGUUGGCUUAGAAGCAGCCAUCAUUUAAAGAAAGCGUAAUAGCUCACUGGUCGAGUCGGCCUGCGCGGAAGAUGUAACGGGGCUAAACCAUGCACCGAAGCUGCGGCAGCGACGCUUAUGCGUUGUUGGGUAGGGGAGCGUUCUGUAAGCCUGUGAAGGUGUGCUGUGAGGCAUGCUGGAGGUAUCAGAAGUGCGAAUGCUGACAUAAGUAACGAUAAAGCGGGUGAAAAGCCCGCUCGCCGGAAGACCAAGGGUUCCUGUCCAACGUUAAUCGGGGCAGGGUGAGUCGACCCCUAAGGCGAGGCCGAAAGGCGUAGUCGAUGGGAAACAGGUUAAUAUUCCUGUACUUGGUGUUACUGCGAAGGG